GACGAACGCUGGCGGCGUGCUUAACACAUGCAAGUCGAACGGAAAGGCCCUGCUUUUGUGGGGUGCUCGAGUGGCGAACGGGUGAGUAACCCGUGAGUAACCUGCCCUUGACUUUGGGAUAACUUCAGGAAACUGGGGCUAAUACCGGAUAGGAGCUCCUGCUGCUGGGUGGGGGUUGGAAAGUUUCGGCGGUUGGGGAUGGAAUCGCGGCUUAUUAGCUUGUUGGUGGGGUAGUGGCUUACCAUGGCUUGGACGGGUAGCCGGGCUGAGAGGGUGACCGGACACACUGGGACUGGGAUACGGCCCAGACUCCUACGGGAGGCAGCGGUGGGGAAUAUUGCACAAUGGGAGGAAGCCUGAUGCAGCAACGCCGCGUGCGGGAUGAGGGCCUUCGGGUUGUAUACCGCUUUCGCCUGUGACGAAGCGUGAGUGACGGUAAUGGGUAAAGAAGCACCGGCUAACUACGUG
rnacentral:rRNA from 1 species